rnacentral:rRNA from 1 species
GACGAACGCUGGCGGCGUGCCUAAUACAUGCAAGUCGAACGAACAGACCAUGAUUUUGCUCCUCGGACGAUAGCGGAACACGGGAGAAUCACACGAGUAUCCCCUCCCUGUCUUACUGAUAUCUCCUCGAGACUGCGGAUCUUACCCCAUAUAACCUCCUGCACCGCGUGGGUCAUCGGAAAAUACGGUCUUGUGUGUCACUUACUCAUGGAUCCUCGCCUUGUUAGCUAGGUAGUGACGUACCGGCUUUUCGACGCAACGACGCCCAGACAACCUGACAGGGCGAUCUGCCACUCAGAUACUGACACAACUCCUACACUCCUACGGGAGGCAGAAUAUUGCAAUCUUCCCCAAUGCCUGAUACCCUGACGGCGCAACCCCGAUGACGUGAUUAAGGUCUUCAGAUCCUUUCACUCUGUUCUAAGCGAAAAACACAUGUGUGAGUAACUAUGCACCUCUUGACUGACACCUCAUCAGACCGCCACGAUUCACUACGUGCCAGCAUCCUCGGUAUUUACUUGGGUGGCAAGCGUUCUCCGGAAUUAUAGCGCGUCAAACGCGCGAUACUCGGUCUUUAACCCCUAAUGUGAAAGCCCACGGCUCAACCGCGGAGGGUCAUUGGAAACUGGAAAACUUGAGUGCAGAAGAGGAAAGUGGAAUUCCCUGUGUAGCGGUGAAAUGCGCAGAAAUAUGGAGGAACACCCGUGGCGAAGGCGACUUUCUGGUCUGUAACUGACGCUGAUGUGCGAAAGCGUGGGGAUCAAACAGGAUUAGAUACCCUGGUAGUCCACGCCGUAAACGAUGAGUGCUAAGUGUUAGGGGGUUUCCGCCCCUUAGUGCUGCAGCUAACGCAUUAAGCACUCCGCCUGGGGAGUACGACCGCAAGGUUGAAACUCACAGGAAUUGACGGGGACCCGCACAAGCGGUGGAGCAUGUGGUUUAAUUCUAAGCAACGCGAAGAACCUUACCAAAUCUUGACAUCCUCUGACCCCUCUAGAGAUAGAGUUUUCCCCUUCGGGGGACAGAGUGACAGGUGGUGCAUGGUUGUCCCCAGCUCGUGUCGUGAGAUGUUGGGUUAAGUCCCGCAACGAGCGCAGCACCCUUAAGCUGUAGGUGCCAUCAUUAAGUUGGGCACUCUAAGUUGACUGCCGGUGACAAACCGGAGAAAGGGGGGGAUGACGUCAAAUCAUCAUGCCCCUUAAGUACAGGGGCUACACACGUGCUACAAUGGACAAUACAAAGGGUAGCGAAAUCGCGAGGUCAAGCAAUUUCCGAAAACCGGUUUCCAUUUGGGAUGGUAUUUGCCACUUGGCCUCCAGAAAUCGGGGAUGGUUGUUAUUGCAGAUCAACCACGCUACGGUGAAUACGUUCCCGGGUCU